AAUAUGUUUACUGCUAAAUUCUUCUCAUGGGUGUUUUCCUCUGCAUGCCAUGAGAAAGGCACUCUAUUUUACAUGUUCCAAAUGCAUGCUUAAUUUAAGAACACCUGCAAACAGCCCUGUCCUUGGCUCCUUGCUACUAAUGGAGAGGGCAACACCUCACACACAAACAGUAAGAUAGACUUCGGAGACACUACAUGUUGAACAGGCAGAACUUGUCCAAACAGACUCAUGUGAUGGGAACAUUAUGAAAAAAAUGUUGAGCCAUAAGGUGACUACUUGGUACAGCCUGACCUUCUCUUAACAGAACCCCGCUGAGCAGUCCUACAAUAUAAAACAAUUAUGAACAUCAACUCAUGGUCAACAUGAAAAUUUAUUCAUUUUCUGUAACAGAUAGAUAGCCUAUUUUACCAAGUAUACAAAGCAUUUCAAGGGGGUACAUUCCCAAAGCGCAUGAACAUGCUUGCUUUUAUAGCCAAGCAACUCAUUUUUUU
rnacentral:lncRNA from 1 species